CUCAUGUUGUUGAGCAGAAGAGACUGAAAAGGCCAAGAAUAUCUAUCAGAUUCUAGAUCUAUCUAAUCACUGUUCUGGCAAUCUACCUUCGUACCAUUCGUAGUCUGGGUAUAUAACCCAUAACAUCGGCUCACGAGUGGCUUCGGGAACUCUCCAUUUACGUCGACUCCAGCUCCUCCACUAUUUGCGAUCUCCGAUCAACGUCAACCUCCAUAGAAACUGAGUUGGAUGCCAUCAUUCUAUAAUCUUCUGUACGUUUCCUUCUAUAAUCUAUUCCCUCAAUUACGGGCUGCUUAAUGAGAAGUUCGAUUUGCUGGUCUUAACCCGGUAGACGACAUCCAAGUCUGAGACCUCGAUGAUCGAUUGGACCGGUUUCAAGUACCGUUCGAAAGCCUUCUUUAUCAUUACAGCCUUGACAUUGGCCCUCAGUCUUUGUUUUGUCUCUCGCUCUCCCUCUGCUUCGCACAGGUAGGUUCUCCAUCGAAUUGGACAGAGUGAUAAAGAAAGUGAGAGAUUGCUGGCACCCAUAGAGAAAGUGAUAUUUGAGAAAUUGGGCUCAUUUGGUCAAAUUGGAAUAUCCGAUUGAGCUGGCAUCCUUUUGAUCAAAUCGGGGGAUUCGUUUGAGCAAUCCGAGAUCUUUGAUGGAUUGAGCUCCAGAUAAGCUUCUUAUUUGGUUGAUUGGUUUUGAAUUUCAGUGCAUGCAGUUUUGGGUGGUGCAAAUGAAUUUGGGAUGUUCAAUUUUGUUUAGAUUAGCCCUGUUUUCUUCAUACUUAUGCAGAUAGUUUUAAAAAUUCCAGGUUUGGCCGAAAAUCUCCCAACUGCUGGUAUCUAUUGGGUCUCCAGUUGAUGUGCAAAUCUGAUAUAAGGAGCAUAAAGGUGAGGCUAGGGGCAAUUAAGAAGAAGAGGAACGCUGUACUGAAUACAUGCUGCUGAUCUUCUCAAGAUUGUCCUUGAUAUUAAUGUAUAUAGAAGGUUCUCACCCAAAAUAUAAAGAAGCUCAUUUUUGUGCUGCUGUAGGUGGAGCUGGGAGUAGCACAGCAGGUCGAAAAGGCAUGGCUGAUGCUCUAGCAGAUAUGAAAAAAGAUGGUGCUUCACCUUCUGAAGGCCAUCCUACAGUUAACCUAAAGAACAAACCUACUAAAGAUGUCCACAAACAUCCAGACACAUCAAAACCAGCGUGGCUUUUGGCUUUGGAAGUAGUGACAAGAACCAAUUAAUGCAGUUAUACUACCCGCAGCAAAGCGCGGGCUCUCAAAGUGUUUGAACUGAAGCUGAAGCUUCAGCCUUUGGUGUCGAGGUCCAUCACUGGGGGGGGGGGGGGGGGAGUUGCCAUCGGAGGCUUGAUCGUGGAUACCAAGGUGUUCUGCUGGCCUAGAAAGUGCACCUAGCUUUGCUGAUUCAAGGACAUGAGUAGGAAAAGGAGCUUUUCUUCAGCUUCAGAAGAUAUUGGAUUGGGGUGAGAACAAUAUUGCCAUUGCUGCUACAACUACUGCUCCUGGGGCGUUGUUUCAGCAAGUUGUUGUUGUUUGGCAUAAGCUUGACCAUCCAGAUAUUUCGAAGUUUGUUGGAGCUUCAAUGGGAAGUUCGAAUCUUAAAAUCAUUGCCAAAGGCACAUCAAGUGGUGGUCAGUCAUAAGUCACCUCCCUGCAGUUCCAGAGAUUAACUUCAAUUUUGCAAUUUGUAAAUAUACGUCUGGUUUAAACAUCACUUUUGUAAUUUGUACGGUUAUAACAUUUUCAAUUUACGUUUUUAGCUUA